GAUGAACGCUGGCGGCGUGCCUAAUACAUGCAAGUCGAGCGAACAGACGAGGAGCUUGCUCCUCUGACGUUAGCGGCGGACGGGUGAGUAACACGUGUAUAACCUACCUAUAAGACUGGGAUAACUUCGGGAAACCGGAGCUAAUACCGGAUAAUAUAUUGAACCGCAGGGUUCAAUAGUGAAAGACGGUUUUGCUGUAACUUAUAGAUGGAUCCGCGCCGCAUUAGCUAGUUGGUAAGGUAACGGCUUACCAAGGCAACGAUGCGUAGCCGACCUGAGAGGGGGAUCGGCCACACUGGAACUGAGACACGGUCCAGACUCCUACGGGAGGCCGCAGUAGGGAAUCUUCCGCAAUGGGCGAAAGCUUGACGGAGCAACGCCGCGUGAGUGAUGAAGGUCUUCGGAUCGUAAAACUCUGUUAUUAGGGAAGAACAAAUGUGUAAGUAACUAUGCACGUCUUGACGGUACCUAAUCAGAAAGCCACGGCUAACUACGUG
rnacentral:rRNA from 1 species